AUGUUGAAUUACACCAUCAAGAGAAGCUGGACAAAGAAGAAUGCUGUGGUGUUGGCAAAGUCAAAUUUCACGGCGCCUGCUUCAAACCACACUGGCGCUGGCAAGGAGGUCAAGAAGGGAGCAACUUACAUCGGUUCCAAGGAUGCCGGCGACCCCUGCCAUGGCAAACCGGCAGUGGACGAGCUCGGCCUGGAUGUACCACUUCAAGUCCUCAGGCUGCUCCCCGAGCCCCAAGGGAUCAAACCCGUAAUCGCCAGGCAGCCUGCAUCCAGAAGCGUCAAGCAAUCCAUCAGCCUAACAACGAACCAUCGCCGCCUGCAGAGAACACCGGCAGAGGUUGCCACAGUUGACUGA
rnacentral:rRNA from 1 species